rnacentral:rRNA from 1 species
GAUCCUGGCUCAGAAUCAACGCUGGCGGCAUGCCUAACACAUGCAAGUCGAGCGAGAAAGGGUAGCAAUACCUGAGUAAAGCGGCGCACGGGUGAGUAACACGUGGAUAACCUGCCUCAAAGUGGGGAAUAACACCGGGAAACCGGUGCUAAUACCGCAUAUUCUGACGAAGUCUGCGGAUUUUGUCAGGAAAGGAGCAAUUCGCUAUGAGAGGGGUCCGCGGCUGAUUAGCUAGUUGGUGAGGUAAUGGCUCACCAAGGCUUCGAUCAGUAGCCGGUCUGAGAGGACGGUCGGCCACACUGGAACUGAGACACGGUCCAGACUCCUACGGGAGGCAGCAG